AGAGCAGCGGAUUACUUGUAACCGACAGUAAAUCAGCGUCUUUUCCGUAGUGUCUACUGCAGGAUGGAUAUAAAAGUAUAAAACACGUUUUGGUUUGACAACAUCGUUCAUAUGUGAACUAUCACAAUUAAAGCACAAAGACAUAACAUUACACCCCGAGACCUUUCACAAGUGCGACAAAAGAGAAGAAACGCUUUCCGGAAGAAGUUCAUCUGGCGAGUUGGAGACUAGUCGACUCAUCCAGUUUAGCGGAGAGCAUUAACCCCUAAUUGACAUGAGGAAAAAAAUCAUUGAAAGGUGUUCAGUGUACAGUGUACCCCUCUUUGCAACAGAGGAAGCAUUUGGAAAGAGGAGAAGAGAAAAAGUGAAAAGGCACUCAACAGAUGUUGGAAAAUGCACUGGUAACAACUAAAAAAAGACAACCAAAAAUAUAAUUCAACAGAGGAUGAUGGCUGUGGUGAAACAAGCACUCAAAUAAUGAAACUAAGACCAGUGGGAGUGCUGGAGAAAUCAAGUGUAUAAGUCCUCUGUCUCCUCAGCCAUGGAAGAGAUCUUCAGACAUGAAGAGAUUGAGGAGUUAAAUGAAAUCAAAGAGCUAAAAGAAGAUUUACAAUACUAGUGCCAUUUCAGUAUGAAAACAGAGAGAGAGCUGAGGGAAUGGAAAGAAAUGCAUGUUAUUGUGCAAGGGAUAGUUGCAUGGACUAUCAGUGGAGGAACAGAAAGCUCUGGGAUUUCAUUAUAAAAAGAUCUUCAGUUGUAUUCUGAAGAUGAACGAAAGACUUGCAGGUUUUGAACGUCAUGAGGACUACAUCCAAAAUAGUGUUUCCACAUCUGAGAUGAAGGCAGUCAUAAGAACCAAGCGGAACAAUGAGGAUAAGCUCUUCAGAAAAUGAAACCUGUCAGAAUAAUGAGGGAAGAAAUGUGCAUGAUUGUGUGAUUUGUAAAUAAACACUAAAUACAUUUAGUGUAACUCUCAGCCUGUUAUUUUAAGUUUAAAGAAAAGUAAAAUAAUUUGUUGCAUUGCUGUUUGAGACAUUCACUGUUGUUUUGUACCUUAAUUUAUUAUAUUGCAGUUGUGUAAAAUAAAACUUGUUAUUCUGAAUAUUCUGGUUGCAUUUCAGUGUUACUGUACAGCAUUUUAUUAGUAUUGCACUUUGGUAGUACUGAAUUGUACUUCAGAUGUAUUGCAGUAAAACGGCAAUAAUGCAGUUUUUUCGUGUCCAAAAAACUGCAUUUUUCUACAUGUAACAAAAACUGCAGUAAUUUUUUGUAAGGGAUGAUUUUAUCCAUUUCAGAAUUUCAUGUAUUGUAACCCUCUUAUGAUAUUUUGUUUAUUGUCUUCUUCACUUGUUAUUCUUGUACUCUAUUGCAAAAAUAUGUUUUGUUUUGUUUUGUUGUUUGCCAACUGACAUUCUCAGCUCUCUGUAUUGUGCAUUACAAAUCAGAGGACAAUUAUAGGUUAAUGUGUUAAUAAUACAAUUAGUCUAAUUAUAAAUAAAUGUAAUUAUUUGACUGGUGAUGAACGGAAAAGUGGGGA